rnacentral:rRNA from 1 species
CCUACGGGAGGCUUCAGUGGGGAAUAUUGGACAAUGGGCGAAAGCCUGAUCCAGCCAUGCCGCGUGUGUGAAGAAGGCCUUCGGGUUGUAAAGCACUUUCAGUGGGGAAGAAAGCCUUGGGGCUAAUACCCUCGAGGAAGGACAUCACCCACAGAAGAAGCACCGGCUAACUCCGUGCCAGCAGCCGCGGUAAUACGGAGGGUGCGAGCGUUAAUCGGAAUUACUGGGCGUAAAGCGCGCGUAGGCGGUCUGAUAAGCCGGUUGUGAAAGCCCCGGGCUCAACCUGGGAACGGCAUCCGGAACUGUCAGGCUAGAGUGCAGGAGAGGAAGGUAGAAUUCCCGGUGUAGCGGUGAAAUGCGUAGAGAUCGGGAGGAAUACCAGUGGCGAAGGCGGCCUUCUGGACUGACACUGACGCUGAGGUGCGAAAGCGUGGGUAGCAAACAGGAUUAGAUACCCCUGUAGUC